UAAAUACUUGGAACACAAUAUAAUCUCUUCAUUUCUCACAGCAGGCAACUGCUGCUUUGCCGAGCCUCGCAAUGAAUGGCACCUGUUUACAAUCUAGACUUGUAACCCCCUGCCUUUUAGAAAAGAGUAAGCUUCAAGUGCAUAAAUGUAAAUAGAGUAACUCACCACAUCCUGCGGUACAUUCUGAAUCACUGACCUGACUUGGACUUUUAAGUUGCAGCUGGAAACCACCGUGUCCCUGGCAAUAGAAAGUUUAAAGGCAGAAGAAGCCCAAUGCAAGGCAUUUUCAAUGUUGCCAUGGUGACUAAUGAAAACUGAAUUAUGAGAAAAGAAGAACGCUUUCAAGCUCAGCGCCACCUGCGCGACUCAGUAUAUUAAUAACUGGAUCGGCUGGCAGGAUAAUAGGACAGCCCAAGGUUUAUGUUGACCGGCUAACGCCUGGCUACAGGCUAACUCUAACAGCAACAUUUCUGUCAAGAGCUUCCUCAGCCGUAAUUUAUUCUGAGUUUUCAGCAGUGAGAUGUCACCCAAAACAGAGGUGUCACUUCUGUCAGUGUAUUUCUGAAAGGCACGGAACUGCUGCCAGCAGCACAGACUUUAAGUAUAAGGAUACUGGCAGCAUCAGGCUUUUCCACUGGAGAUAAAGAAUUAUUUUAAGCACAAGAACCAAAAAGAUUAUGAAUUUCAUAUCCUGAUUCUACAUUUUUUUGUCCAUAGGAUAAAAAAGCACAGUAGAAAAGACUAAAAUAUUGUUCUGAGGAAAGCAAGGUUCCUUUGUGCAAUUUUAUUCAAAGUUUUCAAAACAGAAAGCUGUUCCUGGUCUCCUACAGGUACCACACAAAACACACUGCAGGACAGUGCAAGAUUAGUAGACUAGUCACAACAGCCAGUCAGCAAGUAGAAUUUAAAGGUCUGCUGCAUGAAACAUAACAUUUGGUUGCUAUGAGAUACUAGACCUGGAGGAAACUAGUUUGUUUAUAGAUGCUAAAAGUAGCAGCUAAACAACCGCUGAUUGGAAUUCAUCUGGGAAACCAGAAAAUGAACACUAAAAUACUAAAAUUAUACAUGCUUAGUGUUACAAAGUUUGAAUAGGAAAUAUAAUUUCAUAUGUAUGAAUUUAUAAUUUAAUUAUUUGUUAUAUUUCCCCCCCAGUGGGGGGUUUCAAAACCUUGCCCGUAUUGUGUAUGCUUAUGGUCUAAAUAAAUCACUGCUAUCUGGA